rnacentral:lncRNA from 1 species
AACACACACCAAACAUUGUAAUACAGCUUUACAAAACUACUUUAAAAAAAAUUAUUUUUUAUUAAAAAUCAACAAAAUAUUAUACAGUUUUACAUUAUUAUAUAGAAAUUAUAUUUUCAUGACAACAUGUGAAUUAAUUAAGAUUCGAAUUUGAGACCUCAAGUACCAACUAUUUAGUCUUUUACUACUUGCGUUAGAGACAGCUCAUGCAUAUAAUUUGAUGACAAAC